rnacentral:lncRNA from 1 species
CUCGCUUCCAUUCGGUCCUCCUUUUGUUAACGCUCUGGCAUCAUGUCUACGCCAGCUCCCGCGCAAUCCGGCGCCAUCGCGCUUUGGGCGAGCAUGGCCAUGGGGAGUAGAGAGGUGGAAACCGAGCUGACGCCUGCCUGACCCUGGCGAUGGUGGCGCGCGCCGGGAAGGACUGAUUGGAGAAUGGCGCCAAAUGGGUCACGGAUGGCGAGGGGGCACAGGAGCUCUCGAUGUGACCUGGCGCUGUGGAUGUGAUGCACAGCAGCUUGAGUGGGACUGCUCCGCUGUCCUCAUGAGAGAACGCUUUUUCUGAAGAUGGGAGGUGGCUAAUGAAAGAAGGAAUUGUGUUCUCGGUGAUGCCUGGAAGAGAUGCGUGACGUUGGAAGAUGAUUACGAAAUACAGGAAAGGAAUGAAAUCAAAGGAUGUUUUUUGUAAGAGUAACACUUACAGAAAUAUUCAUUAAUUUGAAGAUUUAUAUAAGGUAAGGGAUUUGUGAACUUACUAAGUUCUUUAUGUAGAGUUACAAGGCUGGCCUUCAGCUCUAAUUAUGCCUCAGUCUUUUAGGUGCUUGGGAUUUCUGUGAUUGCUGGCUUGGUUUUUCCCCAGUCCUGCUGUGUAUAAAUAACUUUGAGGGGAUACAACCAGUAGAAAACAUGACUGGGGAUCAGUGUGACCAAACCUUUGGCUGUGUAAGAGCCAGUAACUAUUCUCCCUGUUGACAUCCAUGCCUGGGCAUUUUCUUUAUGUGUGGAAGGAUAUAUGCCCACCAGCCAACUGGACAUGUACUUGUACCCUGGCCCAACUCACCUGGGUACGCGCAUUACUGUAGACAGACCACACCUGUUAGUGGAUUAGGAGUCAGGGCUGGGGUGGGUGUGGUGUACAGGGGUAUUUUUUCCAUGGCCAUGGAGGACCAAAUGGACUGUGGUGAAUUACAAAAUGGGGGGCUGGUUGGGGGCCAGACCUGCUGACUGCUAGAAGGGCCACUAAUCUCUUUCUAAAUGAAGACUGUCACUUCGACAUUACAAGGUAUGGCCCAGAAAUUAAAGGAACAAAUUGCAAAGGGGAGAUGGGAACUGCCAGCCUACAGUUC